UGGUUGAUCCUGCCAGUAGUGAUA
rnacentral:rRNA from 1 species